GACGAACCGUGCGAACGUUGUUCGGAAUCACUGGGCUUAAAGGGCGCGUAGGCGGGCUGUCAAGUCUGGGGUGAAAUGCCGCGGCUCAACCGUGGAACUGCCUUAGAUACUGACGGCCUUGAGGAAGGUAGGGGCAUGCGGAACUGUAGGUGGAGCGGUGAAAUGCGUUGAUAUCUACAGGAACUCCGGUGGCGAAAGCGGCGUGCUGGACCUUUUCUGACGCUGAGGCGCGAAAGCUAGGGGAGCAAACGGGG
rnacentral:rRNA from 1 species